rnacentral:rRNA from 1 species
GGGUUGUGAGGUUAAGCGACUAAGCGUACACGGUGGAUGCCCUGGCAGUCAGAGGCGAUGAAGGGCGUGCUAAUCUGCGAUAAGCGCCGGUAAGGUGAUAUGAACCGUUAUAACCGGCGAUACCCGAAUGGGGAAACCCAGUGUGACUCGUCACACUAUCAUUAACUGAAUCCAUAGGUUAAUGAGGCGAACCGGGGGAACUGAAACAUCUAAGUACCCCGAGGAAAAGAAAUCAACCGAGAUUCCCCCAGUAGCGGCGAGCGAACGGGGAGGAGCCCAGAGCCUGAAUCAGCAUGUGUGUUAGUGGAAGCGUCUGGAAAGGCGCGCGAUACAGGGUGACAGCCCCGUACACAAAAGCGCAUGUGCUGUGAGCUCGAUGAGUAGGGCGGGACACGUGAUAUCCUGUCUGAAUAUGGGGGGACCAUCCUCCAAGGCUAAAUACUCCUGACUGACCGAUAGUGAACCAGUACCGUGAGGGAAAGGCGAAAAGAACCCCGGCGAGGGGAGUGAAAAAGAACCUGAAACCGUGUACGUACAAGCAGUGGGAGCAC